UUAUAUUCCUUUCUCAUUUACUGCUCAGGAUUGGCUGAUCCUGGUAACAUAGGCGAACUGCUGCUUGGAUCACCGACGAAAAAAGGAAAAGAGCUGGAGUAGAACCACUACAUCUUGGCCCAGGGCAGUCAGAGAGGAACAGGUGAGCCAGUCACCGACGAAGAGGCCAAUCAUUCCCGCUUACUCGACAACAGCAGUAAAAUAAAGGCCGGCAGAGGAAAACAACAGAAACCGGGAAAUUCUCUUAGGCUGCACGUCGGUUUUGUGCAUACUACGUAAGUGCAACGAAAUGAGCCCGCUCGGAAAGCGGUGGUUGCGGCCGGGAGUCGGACGAGCGACCUCGAGCUCAUCAACGCCACGCUACAGCGACUGAGCCACCUCGGCAGGCAAAGUUCCGGGGCCAAUUAGCGCAAAACCGACUGCGGGAGUCAAGCCCAGGACAGGACAACGGUGCGAAACAGGAAAGAGAAAUUCAAAUACAGAAAGAACGCUGGUGCUUCAUCGCCUUUCGCAUCAUUGCCGAAGCUGAUUGUCUCGCGCUUCCAUCUCAGGUUAACUCUGCUCGGUCGCCUAGGAAACGGCUGGUCAUGAGCAAUGCCGUGUGAGAGUGGCAGAAUGUUGUCGGGGGCCUGGCUGCGGACGACAUGGCUGCGAGUGGGCGCACUGCAAAGGAGGAUACCAGAGGGCAAGAACAAGUCCACGUACGGUGAUGGACAAGGAUACGGUGAAAACACGCAGUUCAUCGCAGCCGUGGCAGAUGAUGCCAUCCGUUCCCUAGGGGUCGAAUCAACGUGUUUUGAGUGACGUCAACGCAGACGACACCGACAUCAGAUUUAUUGUGGACGAAACUGGACAGGUGCAGGAAGGUGCGCUGCUUGUGGCAUCGCCGAAACUGGAGCCGUGUUCCGUGUCGGCGCCCCCAGGUGUCCUCCUCGCCAGUUCAACAAGACAACAAGGAGUGCGUGGAGCCGACCACCGUGCGAGUCCCGGCGCCGACAGACGUCCUCCUAGAAAGCUGAAGCAGGCGAGUGCAGCCGUGUUCUUCACGUUUUAAGGUGUGCGUGGCGUUGGAUCCUCAAGCCGGCCUCCCGUCAGUCCCGGCGCCAGCAGACGUUGUCCUGCCGGCCAAUCGAGAGGAGAUUACAGUAUGCCGGAGUUGGCAAGAUGCAGCAACCAGGGACUCAAGCUUCAUCCACCAAGCGGGCUGCUCCGCACAUAUUGGACACAUUCGUGAAAACAGUUCUGUCCCAGUUCUGGUUCUGUCCCAGGGAGUACUUCCAAGAGUUGGGCAUGAUGGCCAUAACCGCCGGAAUUCUCCCAGACGAUAAUAAAGCAAUGAAACAAAGCCUUCUAUGCGGCGCAAACAAGCAUAAAAGCCUUGGCGCACGCAAUGAGCACUUCCAGUUGUCUAA